ensembl:snRNA U1 U1 spliceosomal RNA
AGACUUACCUGGCAGGGGAGAUACCGUUAUCACAAAGGUGGUUUUCCCAGGGUGAGACUUAUCCAUUGCACUCUGGGUAUGCUGACCCCUGCGUUUUCCCCAAAUGUGGGAAACUGGACUGCAUAAUUUGUGGUAGUGGGGGACUGCGUUCACACUUCCUCCUG